rnacentral:sRNA from 1 species
GGCUUUGGGGCUGAGUCUUCGGACAAGGCCCUUGAGCCUAGCGGCAAACGGGUGAGUAACACGUGAGCAACCUGCCCCGCUGACCGGGAUAACAAGCCGAAAGGCCUGCUAAUACCGGAUAAGAAGCCCUGGCGCAUGUCGGGGCUUGGAAAUGGAGCAAUUCGCAGCGGGAGGGGCUCGCGCCCUAUCAGCUAGUUGGUGAGGUAACGUCCCUCCAAGGCGACGGCAAGUAGCCGACCUGAGAGGGUGACCGGCCACACUGGAAUUUAGUCAUUGUCCAGACGACUACGGGAGGCAUCAGCUCCAUCUUGUGAUUAACUCAUCCAUCCCGGAGAUUCUGCG